UACGGAAGGUCCGGGCGUUAUCUGGAUUUAUUGGGUUUAAAGGGAGCGUAGGCCGUUUGGUAAGCGUGUUGUGAAAUGUCGGGGCUCAACCUGGGCAUUGCAGCGCGAACUGCUAGACUUGAGUGCGCAGGAAGUAGGCGGAAUUCGUCGUGUAGCGGUGAAAUGCUUAGAUAUGACGAAGAACUCCGAUUGCGAAGGCAGCCUGCUGUAGCGCAACUGACGCUGAAGCUCGAAAGCGUGGGUAUCGAACAGG
rnacentral:rRNA from 1 species